AGCAGCCGCGGUAAUUCCAGCUCCAAUAGCGUAUAUUAAAGUUGUUGCAGUUAAAAAGCUCGUAGUUGAAUUUCGGGGUUAGUAGGUUGGUCGUGCCACUGGUACGUACUGGUCUCACUGACUCCUCCUUCCUGAUGAACUGUAAUGCCAUUAAUUUGGUGUUGCGGGGAAACUGGACUGUUACUUUGAAAAAAUUAGAGUGUUUAAAGCAAGCUAACGCUUGAAUACAUUAGCAUGGAAUAAUGAAAUAGGACGUUCGAUCCUAUUUUGUUGGUUUCUAGGAUUGACGUAAUGAUUAAUAGGGAUAGUUGGGGGCAUUAGUAUUCAAUUGUCAGAGGUGAAAUUCUUGGAUUUAUUGAAGACUAACUACUGCGAAAGCAUUUGCCAAGGAUGUUUUCAUUAAUCAAGAACGAAAGUUAGGGAUCGAAGACGAUCAGAUACCGUCGUAGUCUUAACCAUAAACUAUGCCGACUAGGGAUCGGGAUGAUGUUUAAUUUUUAAUGUACUNUAUUCGGCGUCC
rnacentral:rRNA from 1 species